UGAGACACGGACCAGACUCCUACGGGAGGCAGCAGUGAGGAAUAUUGGUCAAUGGACGCAAGUCUGAACCAGCCAUGCCGCGUGCAGGAUGACGGCUCUAUGAGUUGUAAACUGCUUUUGUACGAGGGUAAACUCACCUACGUGUAGGUGACUGAAAGUAUCGUACGAAUAAGGAUCGGCUAACUCCGUGCCAGCAGCCGCGGUAAUACGGAGGAUUCAAGCGUUAUCCGGAUUUAUUGGGUUUAAAGGGUGCGUAGGCGGUUAGAUAAGUUAGAGGUGAAAUCCCGGGGCUUAACUCCGAAAUUGCCUCUAAUACUGUUUGACUAGAGAGUAGUUGCGGUAGGCGGAAUGUAUGGUGUAGCGGUGAAAUGCUUAGAGAUCAUACAGAACACCGAUUGCGAAGGCAGCUUACCAAACUAUAUCUGACGUUGAGGCACGAAAGCGUGGGGAGCAAACAGGAUUAGAUACCCUGGUAGUCCACGCAGUAAACGAUGAUAACUCGCUGUCGGCGAUACACAGUCGGUGGCUAAGCGAAAGCGAUAAGUUAUCCACCUGGGGAGUACGUUCGCAAGAAUGAAACUCAAAGGAAUUGACGGGGGCCCGCACAAGCGGAGGAACAUGUGGUUUAAUUCGAUGAUACGCGAGGAACCUUACCCGGGCUUGAAAGUUAGCGACGGAUCUGGAAACAGGUCUUCCCUUCGGGGCGCGAAACUAGGUGCUGCAUGGUUGUCGUCAGCUCGUGCCGUGAGGUGUCGGGUUAAGUCCCAUAACGAGCGCAACCCCUACCGUUAGUUGCCAUCAGGUGAAGCUGGGCACUCUGGCGGGACUGCCGGUGUAAGCCGAGAGGAAGGUGGGGAUGACGUCAAAUCAGCACGGCCCUUACGUCCGGGGCUACACACGUGUUACAAUGGUAGGUACAGAGGGUCGCUACCCCGUGAGGGGAUGCCAAUCUCGAAAGCCUAUCUCAGUUCGGAUUGGAGGCUGAAACCCGCCUCCAUGAAGUUGGAUUCGCUAGUAAUCGCGCAUCAGCCAUGGCGCGGUGAAUACGUUCCCGGGCCUUGUACACACCGCCCGUCAAGCCAUGGGAGCUGGGGGUGCCUGAAGUUCGUGACCGCAAGGAGCGACCUAGGGCAAAACCGGUGACUGGGGCUAAGUCGUAACAAGGUAGCCGUACCGGAAGGUGCGGCUG
rnacentral:rRNA from 1 species